GACUGCGCAGCUCCAAGAGCAAUGGUUGCAAGCAUUGAGCGAUCACCCCAUUCGGCGAAAAAUAUAAGGCUGAACGACUUCCAAAUGAUUUCAAGUGGAUUGGAGAGCCGUUUUGAAACCUUUUCUUUAACAAGCUCCUCUGCUUCGACAUAUUCAUCAAGUUCUGGGCCACUCUCAUCACCUUGUUUAGGAACACUCGAGGGAAGAUCCCAUGCAUCUUUAAUGGACUUGAGACCAAAGAACAAUAGAAGAGUUACUGCUGCAUAUUCUCCGAUUGGUAAAGUUGUCUGGAACUGAG
rnacentral:misc_RNA from 1 species